GUACGAAUCCAGUCAGGGUUGGAACCAUGGCGGUGACCAAGGAGCUCUUACAGAUGGACCUGUACGCGCUGCUAGGUAUCGAGGAGAAAGCAGCAGACAAAGAGGUGAAGAAGGCAUAUAGGCAGAAGGCCCUGUCCUGCCACCCAGACAAAAAUCCAGAUAAUCCCAGAGCAGCUGAGCUCUUCCACCAGCUUUCUCAGGCCUUGGAGGUACUGACCGAUGCUGCAGCCAGGGCUGCAUAUGACAAAGUCAGGAAAGCCAAGAAGCAGGCAGCAGAGAGGACCCAGAAACUUGAUGAGAGAAGGAAGAAAGUGAAGCUUGACUUGGAGGCCCGAGAGCGGCAGGCCCAGGCCCAGGCCCAUGGCAGUGAGGAAGAGGAGGAGAGCCGGAGCACCAGGACAUUGGAGCAGGAGAUUGAACGCCUUCGAGAAGAGGGUUCCCGGCAGCUGGAGGAACAGCAGAGGCUGAUCCAGGAGCAGAUACGCCAGGAACGGGAGCAGAGGUUGAGAGGAAAGGCAGAAAAUCCUGAAGGCAGAGGAACCCCCAAACUAAAGCUAAAAUGGAAGUGCAAGAAGGAAGAUGAGUCAAAAGGCGGCUACUCCAGAGAUGUCCUCCUACAGCUUUUCCAGAAGGCUGAGCCAUGCUUACUGGGACCCCCUUGUCCUCACAGUAUGGAGAGGUGCUCCACCUGGUGCUUUCCAGUAAGAAGGCUGGCACUGCCGUGGUGGAGUUUGCAACCAUCAAGGCUGCGGAGCUGGCUGUCCAAAAUGAAGUGGGCCUGGUCGAUAACCCUCUGAAGAUUUCCUGGUUGGAGGGACAGCCCCAGGGUGUGGGGGGCCCCAGCCACCCAGGACUGUCGCAGGGCUCAGUGCUGUCCGAGAGGGACUAUGAGAGCCUCGUCAUGAUGCGCAUGCGCCAGGCAGCUGAGCGGCAACAGCUGAUCGCCCAGAUGCAGCGGGAAGAUGAGGUGGGGCAGCCCACGUAACCUCUUGCCUCCAGCCCACCAGCCCACCCACCCACGGCCCUCUUCCUGAACAUCACCAAUAAACUUUCUUUUUUUUUUUUUUAA